rnacentral:rRNA from 1 species
UCCUACGGGAGGCAGCAGUGAGGAAUAUUGGUCAAUGGGAGCAAUCCUGAACCAGCAAUGCCGCGUGUGGGAUGACAGGGCUCAGCCUUGUAAACCACUGUCGGACGGGACGAGAAGGUGCCUCGGGCACCCGGGACGGUACCGUCAAAGGAAGGGUCGGCUAACUACGUGCCAGCAGCCGCGGUAAU